UGCAGUCGAGCGAACAGACGAAGUACUUGUACUUCUGACGUUAGCGGCGGACGGGUGAGUAACACGUAAGGAAUCUACCUAUAAGCGGGGGAUAACAUUCGGAAACGGAUGCUAAUACCGCAUAACAUUUACUUCCGCAUGGAAGUAAAUUGAAAGACGGCUCUGCUGUCACUUAUAGAUGACCUUGCGGUGCAUUAGUUAGUUGGUGGGGUAAUGGCCUACCAAGACGAUGAUGCAUAGCCGACCUGAGAGGGUGAUCGGCCACAUUGGGACUGAGACACGGCCCAAACUCCUACGGGAGGCAGCAGUAGGGAAUCUUCCGCAAUGGGCGAAAGCCUGACGGAGCAAUGCCGCGUGAGUGAAGAAGGCCUUCGGGUCGUAAAACUCUGUUAUAAGAGAAGAACAAAUUGUAGAGUAACUGCUACAGUCUUGACGGUAUCUUAUCAGAAAGCCACGGCUAACUACGUGCCAGCAGCCGCGGUAAUACGUAGGUGGCAAGCGUUGUCCGGAUUUAUUGGGCGUAAAGGGAGCGCAGGUGGUUUCUUAAGUCUGAUGUGAAAGCCCACGGCUCAACCGUGGAGGGUCAUUGGAAACUGGGGAACUUGAGUACAGAAGAGGAAUGUGGAACUCCAUGUGUAGCGGUGGAAUGCGUAGAUAUAUGGAAGAACACCAGUGGCGAAGGCGACAUUCUGGUCUGUUACUGACACUGAGGCUCGAAAGCGU
rnacentral:rRNA from 1 species